AUUUUCCUCUAACAGCAAGACUCGGACAGCAUGAAGAUUAUAUUACUCUUUGUAGUAAUAACAUUAUGUACUCACAUUAUGGGAAAUAAAAUUGUGGGUAAUAUUUCACCGACUACAUCAACCCCUAAGCCAUGGCGCAAAAAAAUAAGUGAUGGUCUGGGGAAGUUCUUCCAGGGAGCAGCGAUUCUAGGAGCGGUACAGCAAGCUAUUCACGAUGGGAAAAGCGGCAAGCAUAAGUCACCACACACGAAUUCUAAGUAUUAAAUGUAAUUUUUUUAUGUCUGUAUAUAUUUUUUAAUAAAAUUAGUAGAAAUAUCA